rnacentral:rRNA from 1 species
AUGCGUGGCAUUCUACCUGACAAGAAGACGCUACAUUAUAGACAUAUUCGAGAUGUCAGUUUAUGCAAACUCUGUCAAGCACAUGAGGAAGACCUUGAACAUGCGUUAAUUUACUGUUCGCACGCGAGACAGUUCUGGGACAAAGCGCACCUUGUUCUGGACAUCAAGCUACCGCGACUGCAUCCGUCCUCAUGGGCUGGCGAUAUCUUAUGUGGGUCUAUGUUCACCGACAAGGAGCGAGCAACGAUAAUCACUAUAAUGUGGUCCAUCUGGAGUUCUCACAAUAGAUGGACGCAUGACGGUAUGAAGUACGAUCCGGUGAACUCCAUCAAACUCACUAGAGAGGCCUUGGCCUUACUUGAUGUACCUAAACAGCAAGCUACAACGCUAUCGAGACAUGGUUGGCGACCACCUGAAUCAGAUCAAGUAAAGAUCAACACCGAUGCAGCUGUGCGGUUCACAGAGGAAAAAAGCGGAGCGGGGGGUGUUGCCCGCUCCCAGACAACACCGAUGGGCGCCUGGUGCAAGCCCCAUCUUGGGGUCACUGAUCCUAUGAUCGCCGAGGCGCUAGCCCUACGGGAUGGAGUAAUUUUCGCAAAUCUGAGAGGCUAUGCCAAUGUGAUUAUGGAGACCGACAGUCUGGAGAUUGUGAAUCUAUGGAACACUCGCCGCAACAGUCGCUCUGUUGUGGCACUAGUUUUCUUUGAAAUUGAUGAGCUAGCGGAUAGUUUUCAUUCUUUUGUAUUUCAGCAUGUUAGUAGAUCUGCAAACGGUCCAGCACACUUGUGUGCCCAGCGUGCAUGUAAUGUAUCUAUAACCAAGAGUUGGCUCUCUGAGAUUCCGAGUUUCCUGGUUAGCAGCCUAUUGGCUGACCGCCCAGCGAACACUUUUGUUUGA